rnacentral:rRNA from 1 species
CACAACGGGUGGAGCUUGCGGUUUAAUUGGAUUCAACGCCGGAAAUCUUACCGGGACCGACAGCGAUAUGAAGGCCCGGCUGAAGACUUUGCCGGAUUAGCUGAGAGGUGGUGCAUGGCCGUCGUCAGUUCGUACUGCGAAGCAUCCUGUUAAGUCAGGCAACGAGCGAGACCCACGCCCACAGUUGCCAGCGUACUCUCCGGAGUGACGGGUACACUGUGGGGACCGCCGCUGCUAAAGCGGAGGAAGGAAUGGGCAACGGUAGGUCAGUAUGCCCCGAAUAUCCCGGGCUACACGCGAGCUACAAUGGUUGGGACAAUGGGUAUCGACACCGAAAGGUGAAGGCAAUCUCCUAAACCCACUCUUAGUUCGGAUUGUGGGCUGCAACUCGUCCACAUGAAGCUGGAAUCCGUAGUAAUCGUGUCUCAAAAUGGCACGGUGAAUAUGUCCCUGCUCC